rnacentral:rRNA from 1 species
AACGUAGGUGGCGAGCGUUAUCCGGAUUUACUGGGCGUAAAGGGUGUGCAGGCGGGCUGUUAAGUGGUGUAUGAAAUAUCCCGGCUCAACCGGGAAGGGUUAUGCCAGACUGGCAGUCUAGAGAGCGAGAGAGGGACGUGGAAUUCCGGGUGGAGUGGUGAAAUGCGUAGAUAUCGAGAGGAACACCUGCGGCGAAGGCGGGUUGCUGGGCCGACACUGACGCUGAUGCGCGAAAGCCAGGGGAGCGAACGGG